rnacentral:rRNA from 1 species
GAUCAUGGCUCAGGAUGAACGCUGGCGGCGUGCUUAACACAUGCAAGUCGAACGAAGCACUUUAUUUGAUUUCCUUCGGGACUGAUUAUUUUGUGACUGAGUGGCGGACGGGUGAGUAACGCGUGGGUAACCUGCCUUGUACAGGGGGAUAACAGUUGGAAACGGCUGCUAAUACCGCAUAAGCGCACAGCAUCGCAUGAUGCAGUGUGAAAAAUUCCGGUGGUAUAAGAUCGG